GUCAUCCUCCAUCAUUCUGGGGAGACUCGCCACCAUCUUAAGGACCAACCCCAAACGGGCUCAGCUGGGCUCAGAAGUGCUUCACCUCUGAAACUUUGCACUCUGGCCUAGGUGUUAUCAAAUGUCCCUGCCUGUUCCUCUUGUCCUCCAGCCUGAGACCCUCAUCCAUCUCAUCCCACCUGGCCCCUGCCCGCGGUCCUGCUGCUGGCUGGCCUGCUCCUGCAGCUCUAACCAGCCUAGCCCAGCGCUGCCUGUAUCUGAGUGAGCUGACUGAAAGCAUUCCAAGUGCAUGCUUGCUGGGAUUCCUGAGCAUAUUAAUCUGUGUGCAAUAAACUCCCAUUUCUUGACAGGAA